GUUGGUUGGUUUUUUCUCGGAAGGCUGAUUUGUUUCGGAAUGCCAUAUUUUCAUUUCAGAACUUAGAAAGUUACUCUCGGCUGAAGAUCUGAGAUAGAAAUUUGCACAGCUGAGCACAGUCUGAGGAAGAAUCUCUGUUCAAAGAAGAAUCUAUUAGCCUCAGAUCAGAGCCUGUAAGUACCCUUAAGUUAAUCCAGUCCAACUCCUUGCAGCCUACUGUAGAGACACAGGGGCCACUGGCCAGAGAGUGGAGAGGCCUGGGUUCUGGUCCUCACCCUGUCACUGGUUCCCUGAGUGACCUUGCGAAAGUCUCUGCCCUUCUCUGGCCUCAGUUUCCCUUUUGGAAUUGGCCCAGAACCUCUUAGGUCCUGGCCAAAUCAAAAGGUCAAAAGCUCCACUUGCGAGGAAUGGAGAAUGCCUCAAAUGGAGAAUUUUCAAAGGCAGGGCUUGUUCUUGACGUGGGGUGAAAUGGCUGUUUUCAGACUGGCUGUGCAUCUUUGGAAUUGGUAGUUGCAGAGCUAAGAAAAGAAUUUACCUGAAGGGAGGCUUUGUCAGCAGCUUCUGGAGUUUUUGUGCCGAGUCUUAGGACUGAUGGAGGUGAUAUGUUAGUGUUUAUCAGGGGCCAUUGGUGAAGUUUAGGUGGUAAAAGGAGGUUAGUGCGGAGAAGGCAAUGGCACCCCACUCCAGUACUCUUGCCUGGAGAAUCCCAUGGACGGAAGAGCCUGGUGGGCUGCAGUCCAUAGGGUCGCUAAGAGUCGGAGACAACUGAGUAACUUCACUUUCUCUUCACUUUCGUGCAUUGGAGAAGGAAAUGGCAACCCACUCCAGUGUUCUUGCCUGGAGAAUCCCAGGGUCGGGGGAGCCUGGUAGGCUGCCAUCUACGGGGUCACACAGAAUUGGACACGACUGAAGUGACUUAGCAGCAGCAGCAGGAGGUUAGUGGGGCUCGUGGCAGAUGGAAAGUGGCAGGCGAGGGGGUCAUCCGGGGGUCUGUCUUCUUGUCUCGGUCUCCACUCAUUCUGCAGCCCAGAAAGCCCUUCCCCAUCUCUGGGCCUUAAUUUCCUCUGGCUAGUUUCUGAACCCCCUUUGAGCCUCAAAAUUCUAUGAUUCUAAUGAAUUCUGUUUUAAAAUUGUAGUUUUAUCUUCCCAAGGACUUUAAGUUUUAGAAAAAAUUCUCUAUGUUUCUUUUCUUUUCUUUUUCUUUUUUUUUUUUUUUAUGUUUUGGCUGCACCGAGUGGUAUGCGAGAUCUUAGUUCCCCAACCAGGGAUCGAACCUAUGCACCCCCUACAAAUGAAGUGCAGAUUCUUAACCACUGAACUGCCAGGAAAGUCCCUUAAAUAUAUGUUUCUUAAGCACCCACUGGUGACAGGCACAAUGGUUGCAGCUAGCAAAACCAGAUUCGGUGGCUGCCAUCAUGGCACUUAGAGUCUUGGGGAAGGACAGACAGCGACCAAUCAGAUAAAGACACAGAGGGCCGGCAACACGCUACAACUAGAGGAUGAGUUUUCAACAGACGACUUGAACUCCGUUAGGGUUGGACAGGGUCAGCUUCUUCAAGGAAGUGACUCUUGUGCCAAUAUCCCCAGGGUAAUGAGGGUCUGACUAGGUGAAGGGUACAAAAAAAAGUGUUCCCGGAAGAGGAACAGCGUGUGGGAAAUCUGGGUCAAGAGGGCACAGGGCCUGUUCGAGAGGAGCCAGCAGUGCUGUGAGGGGAGGCUGUCGAGGUCCAGGGCGAGUCAGACCCUGCAGAAUCUUGUUGUCUGUGGAGAAUUCUCAUGCUUAGGAUCACGGAGAGCCUCUGAAGCAUUCUCAGCAAAGGCAGACAGCAUCAAGUCUGCAUUUUGACUCCUCUGAAUGCUAUUAGGAAGGGACAGGAGAUGGUGAUGGAGUUAUGACAUCCUGGUGAGACAUGAUGCGGGCCUGACUGGAGCCGUUACAGUCCAGAGUGGUCACAUUCGGAAACGAUUUAGGAUUUUGAAUUAACAGGAUGUGGCGAUAGAUGGAAUGAGGAGUCGAGGCCAACUCCCAGCUCUGCAGAGGUUCAUCUGAAGGGGUUACUGGAAAGGAACAUGGAACUAAGGAGCCACCUCCAACCGGAAGAGUUCAGGAAAGGUCCAAAGGAGACACCACGUGUCCCACCACCUCCCAGAAUCCUCACUGGAAUUCAUCGUGGCUGAGCAAUGUGUGCACCACCAAGAAGGACCCUGAGUCAGAGUGAUUGGCCAGAGACAACCCAGAAAGUAACUCCAACACCAUAAAACCCAGGACUGCAAGCCAUGUGGCAGAGGAGUCCUCCUAGGUCUCCUUACCCUCCUGCCCCCCUCCCAGGCCACCCUUCCCAAUAAAGCCUCUUGCUCUGUCAACACGUGUGUCUCCUCAGACAAUUCAUUUCCGAGUGUUAGACAAGAGUCCACUCUCGGCCCAGGAAAGGAUCCCCCUUCCUGCAAUAGCAU
ensembl:lncRNA